UACAUUACAACUUCUUUGGAAUUUACCUAGCAGGUUUUCUGGUCUUUACCAGAAAGUGCCCUG
ensembl:snRNA U7 U7 small nuclear RNA